GAUGAACGCUAGCGGCAGGCCUAAUACAUGCAAGUCGGACGGGAUCUAUCGGAGAGCUUGCUCGAAGAUAGUGAGAGUGGCGCACGGGUGCGUAACGCGUGAGCAACCUACCCAUAUCAGGGGGAUAGCCCGGAGAAAUCCGGAUUAAGACCGCAUAACACUGUGAUUUGGCAUCAUGUUACAGUUAAAUAUUUAUAGGAUAUGGAUGGGCUCGCGUGACAUUAGCUAGUUGGUGAGGUAACGGCUCACCAAGGCGACGAUGUCUAGGGGCUCUGAGAGGAGAAUCCCCCGCACUGGUACCGAGACACGGACCAGACUCCUACGGGAGGCAGCAGUAAGGAAUAUUGGUCAAUGGGCGGAAGCCUGAACCAGCCAUGCCGCGUGCAGGACGACUGCCGUAUGGGUUGUAAACUGCUUUUGUCGAGGAAUAAACCUAUCUACGUGUAGAUAGCUGAACGUACUCGAAGAAUAAGGAUCGGCUAACUCCGUGCCAGCCGCCGCGGUAA
rnacentral:rRNA from 1 species